AACACGAUAGAAAGUAAAAACUGAGAAGCCAUAAAAACGAGGAGGAUUAAAACUCGUAAAAAGAAGAGAAGGGAAAAUUACACAGCUGCAAAAGACAGACACGAAAACACGAGAGAGAUCCGGCUAAAACAUUGGCGUAACCAUCACCCCUAGGAAACGGAACAGCGAAAUAGAACAGAGGAAGACUCUCAAAAAACAAACAGAAAAGAUAAGGAAGCGAGGGAAUAAAACAAUGAAAAAUAACAAAAGCUGACCCCCGUUGAUGUAACAAACUGUAGAAAUCAAAAGCCAUACAAAGAAACAAAACGGAUAAAUAAAACAAGGAAAAGAGAGGUAAACAAAAACAAGAAUAUGAAAAUGAACUAAAACUGGAUACACGAAAAGAAUAAAUUACAGAAUCCUUCAAAUAAACCACAGACGCAAGGGAGUACAGAAAAUCGCACAAAAAGAACAUGCAAAUGACCGGCACGAAAACCCAAGGAUGACACGAUCAAAGCAUUAGCAUAACCACCACCCCAAGGCAAUAAAAACGAACAAACACCGAAAAGAUUCUUUGUCACUCUAAUAAAUGACACACAACCCUAACAAAUUGGUAAAGAAAGGUCACCAAAUACAAUAAUAAAGAAAAAUAAUAAAAGCUAACAAAAACCACCAAAAAGAUGAAUACAACUAACGACAAAAGGAUACGCCAUAGAAACAAUUAAACCGAACUAUAUAAAUAUAAAAACAAUCUAACUAACCAAAAUAUAUAAAAACAUAACGGACUAACGAAAACAAGGAAAAGAGAGAGACACCAUAAAGACAAUGGGGAUUGAAACACACAAAAAGGAGAAAGGAAUCGUGCACAGCUGCAAGACAGACAAGAAAACAUGAGAGAGACACUGACAGAGCAUUGGCGCGGCCACUAUCCCCAGGAAAUAACACAAUAAAACAGAACAGGGCAAACUCGUAAAAAACAAAUGAAGGAGAGAAACUAACGGAAGAACAAGAUAAGGAAAAAUAAUAGAAAUCGACCCCGUCGAUGUAAAAAAUAGGACAUACUAUGGAACCAACCGAACUGAUUUCCAACAACCUAUGAACAAUUUAACUAGCCAAAAACAUAUAGGCAAACAUAACGAAUUAACAGAACAAGGAAAAGAGAGAAAAACCGUAAAAACGAUAAGGGUUAAAACACAUAAAAAAGGGAAAAGGAACUGUACACAGCUGAAAAACGGACACGAAAAUAUGAAAACGACCUGGCCAAGCAUUGGCGCAGCCACCACCCCCAGGCAAUAGAACAAAUAAAUGCUGAAAACAUUAACGAACGAUCAAUCACUGACUAAUACCACAAUUCCACUCUAGGAAAUAACAUAAUAAAACAGAACAAGGCAAACUCGUAAUAACAAAUAAAGGAAAGUAAAUAACGAAGGAACAAGAUAAGAAAAUAACAGAAAUCGACCCCGUCGAUGUAAAAAUUAGGACAUGCUACGGUACCAAUCAAACUGUAUUCCAACAACCUAUGAAUAAUCUAAUUAGCUGAAAAACAUUUGGGCAAACAUAACGAAUUAACAGAACAAGGAAAAAGAGAGAAACCGUAAAAAAGAUGAGGGCUAAAACACAUAAAAAAGGGAAAAGAAACUGUACACAGCUGCAAAGCAGACAUGAAAAUAUGAAAAUGACCUGGUCAAGCAUUGGCGCAGCCAUCACCUCCAGGAAAUAACAUAACAAAAUAGAACAGGGUAAACUCGUAAAAAACAAAUAAAGGAGAGAAAGUAACGGGGGAACAAGAUAAGGAAAAAUAACAGAAAUCGACCCCGUCGAUGCAAAAAAUAGGACAGGCUACGGAACCAAUCAAACUGAAUUCCAACAACCUAUGAAUAAUCUAAUUAGCUGAAAAACAUUUAGGCAAACAUAACGAAUUAACAGAACAAGGAAAAAGAGGGAAACCGUAAAAACGAUGAGGGUUAAAACGCAUAAAAAAGGGAAAAAGGAACUAUACACAGCCGCAAAGCAGACACGAAAAUAUGAAAGGGGCCUGGUCAAGCAUUGGCGCAGCCACCACACCCAGGAAACAACAAAAUAAAACAGAACAGGGUAAACCCGUAAUAACAAAUAAAGGAAAGUAAAUAACAAAGGAACAGGAUAAGGAAAAUAACAGAAACCGAUCCCAUCAAUGUAAAAAUAGGACAUGAUAUAGAACCAAUCGAACUGAAUUCCAACAACCUAUGAAUAAUCUAAUUAACUGGAAAACAUUUAGGCGAACAUAAAGAUUUAACAGAACAAAGAAAAAGAGAGAAACCGUAAAAAAGAUGAGGGCUAAAACACAUAAAAAGGUAAAAGAAACUGUACACAGCUGCAAAACAGACACGAAAAUACGAAAAUGACCUGGUCAAGCACUGGCGCAGCCAUCACCUCCAGGAAAUAACAUAAUAAAACAGAACAAGAUAAACUCGUAAAAAAAAAAACAAAUAAAGGAGAGAAAGUAACGGGGGAACAAGAUAAGGAAAAAUAACAGAAAUCGACCCCGUCGAUGUAAAAAUAGGACAUGCUAUGGAAUCAAUCGAACUGAAUCCCAACAACCUAUGAGUAAUCUAACUAACCGAAAAAUAUAUAGACAAACAUAACGGAUUAAUAGAGCGAGGAAAAGAGAGAGAAACCGUAAAAACGAUGAGGGUUAAAACACAUGAAAAAGGGAAAAGGAACUGUACACAGCUGCAAAACAGACACGAAAAUAUGAAAACGACCUGGUCAAGCAUAGGCGCAACCACCACUCCCAGGAAAUAACACAAUAAAACUCAACAGAACAAAACUCUUAAAAAACAAGCAAAAAGAAAUAAGGGAAUGAAAGAAGAAAAUAAUGAAGAUAACAAAAACCGACCUCGCCAAGGUAAAAAAAAUAUUAGGACACGAUGUGGAAACAAUUAAGCAGAAUCCCAACAAUCCAAGAACGAUCUGAAAUAACAGGAAAACACAGGAAAACACAACGGAUUAACAAAGCGAGAAAAAGAGAGAAAAACCAUAAAAAGCCAGGGGCUGAAACACACAGAAAAGGGGAAAGAAAUCGUACACAGCUGCGAAACAAACACGAAAACAAAAGAAUGACCCGACCAAAGCAAUGGCGCAGCCACCACCCCCCAGGAGACAAUACAACAAUAUAGAACGGAAAAGGACUCCUAAAAAACAAACAGAGGAAAACAAAAACGAAGGAACAAAAAUAAUAUAAAAAUAACGGAAACUAACACUGUCAACAUAACAAAAAUCCAAAAACCGAAAAAUGCAAAGGAACAAAAAGAAAAAGAACAAAUAAAAAGACGAGAGAGGAAACCGUAGAAACAAUGCAGAAUGGAAACCCAGACAAAGGGGGGAAGAAAACAUACACAAGCACAAAACGGACACAAAAAUACAAGGACUAUCUGACCAGAGCAAUGGCGUAAGCACUGCCCCCAAGAAACGUAGAAUAAAAACAAGAACAAUCGCUGUUAUUGUCAAAUCAACGAACGACAACAGAAUCUCGUCACACGCAAAGAAAAUCCUGAAACAAAAAUUUAUAAACAAACCGAAAGAACACAAAAGGAAACAGAACGGCCAAAAACAGACUGGAAAAAGUGAGAAACGGAAAAACAAAAAGUUUCCCCACCCUACAACACCGAAAGUAGGAAAGGAAAACGAGGAAGGGGUAGGAAAACGUGCAAACAGAAAGAGACAAAGCAAGAAAGACAGAGGGGAAAAAUCCAGGGAACCAAUGACGAAAGAACCCCGCACCCCAAACCGAGUAUGCAUGGAAAAAGUGGGAAAAAAGGAGGAGGCCGAGGCCAGCGAGAGACUAUAAAAAGAACGGUACGGGAAGACAAAAUAACAGUCGUGAGCGACCAAACCCAAACUCUAGUACAUAGUAUAGAAACCGUCUCUGAAAUUGUGAUCUUCAACUAGAUACAAGAUGAACCGAACAAACACAAGAGGAACAUUCACGUCCACCCACCAAGUGGCAGUGGUACCAAAGGGAUUCCCGAACAGGAUACUAACAUUCACAGAGGCAGAAGAAUUUGGAGACGCGCUGAAUCUAUGCGUAAUGGAAUACAUAGAAGCUAGAAAAAGGAAAUCGUUGGAAUUUGUGCGACCAGAGUUUCCGACAUUUUUCCGCAAAAACGGCGGAAUACUACUAACUUGCAACACAGAAGUGACCGUUAAGUGGAUCAAAGUAGCUAUCAAGUUCAUAAAACUAAAAAGUGGCUGCGAACUAACGAUCGAAGACAAGACAGCACUGGACAACAGAUUUUCGGUAGAGGGGAGGGGCACGCACUCCCGAUUUACGGGAGCAA